ACAGUAAGAAGGUGGUCAUCUGCAAGCCAGGAAGAGUCCUCCCAGAACCCCAUCACCCUGGGCUCUGAUUUCAGACUUCCAGCAAAAUCCCGAUCAUCCUGGACUUUGAUUUCAGGCUCCCAGCCUCCAGACAUAACUGGUAGCAGCUCCAAUGGAGGAGGGUGAUGGAGACUUUCCAUGGAGGGACUCAUGACUGUUUUCCAAAAAGAGAACCAUUGUCUCUGAAAAGAUAAAGACUGAGACUGAUAUUUAGAAAACAUAAUACCUCCUCAAUAAAUGGUAACUAUUGUUUGGCAAAACUAAUACAAUUAUGUAAAGUUUAAAAAUAAAAUAAAAUUAAAAAAAAAUGGUAACUA